CGUGAGGAACCUGCCUUUCAGAGGGGGACAACAGUUGGAAACGACUGCUAAUACCGCAUAACAUAUGUUUGUCGCAUGGCAGAUAUAUCAAAGAUUUAUCGCUGAGAGAUGGCCUCGCGUCUGAUUAGCUAGUUGGUAGGGUAACGGCCUACCAAGGCGACGAUCAGUAGCCGGACUGAGAGGUUGGCCGGCCACAUUGGGACUGAGAUACGGCCCAGACUCCUACGGAAGGCAGCAG
rnacentral:rRNA from 1 species